GGAAAACUGAAGAAUGUAUCAUUAAAAGAAGUGGGAUAGGAUGAAAAUACCUGUAGUAAAAGAAGGAUUUCGCUUCUGUCCUCCAUUACUAAUCGCUAAUGCCCUCCAUUACUCUAAUGUCAAUUGCUUUUGAAAUGAUCUCUGCAGUGACAAGGAUUUUUAUGAACUUAAGAAUGAACUUCCCUGAAAUAGUGAGCUAACCUACCACUGGUGAGUCUAUCACUUAGAUUUCCUCCAAACAAAUCCUCUGGCUUGACUUUCUAUUCCUAGGUCACUGUCUGGAUCUGCUACCAUCCUCCGGGAGGGCCGGAACAGGGGAGUAGGGCACCCCAACAUAUACUCCUACGUCUCCGAAAGGACCGUGGCGAAAAAGGCCCUUGGGAGUUGUGGAGCGAUGCCUGCAGGCUGUGAUAUAUGCCACAGGUUUCCACCCCACUCAGAUAAAACACAGGUUUUCUUGUUAAAAUCGGGAUGAUCUCUCACAGUCCUAAGUGGUGUAAGUUUAUGAUAACGUGGCCAGAGUUUUCCGGGAAAUAAUCCUGAAGGCACGCUGCCAAACAACCGGAAAGGAUCACAAAAGAUCAUCUCACUACCAAGUCUAAACCAUUCCAGACGGGAACCCAUUCUGAGAGAGCUCAGAGACAGAAGCGAAAUCCUUCUUGAACUAGAGGCCACAGCCUAUCGCACCUGGUCCUGCGACUUUACUGCCCUGAACGGUUUCGUCUUGUUCUACGCCGUGGACUCAUGUCUGACCCAUAACGACUGCAAGGACACAUCUCUCCCAGAAUGUCCCACUUCCACUUGCAAUCGUGGUGGUGGUGUAUCCACAGGGUUUCCUCGGUAAAAAUACGCAACCCUUCCUCGGGGCGGGAAACUUGAGUCUCUGCCCUCGAUUAUCCUGCAUUACGCUGCUGCCCAGCACAGG